GUCUACGGCCAUACCAUCCUGAACGCGCCCGAUCUUGUCUGAUCUCAGAAGCUAAGCAGGUUCAGGCCUAGUUAGUACUUGGAUCGGAGAAAAUAGCCAAUUUUUGAAA
rnacentral:rRNA from 1 species